AAAGGAGAGAAAGAGGGAGGAAAGCUCACCAACUUGUUUCCGUCACUGGAGCCGAUUCCGGCUAAAUCCGGUGACACCACUUAUACCAAUCUCUUCCUUACCUCUUGGGCUUUCUAUGAUUCUAUCUAUAUGUGUUUCAAGACUUAUCGAUGAAGUAAACAUGACAAACAUAAGGAGAGAAGAAUCCUAAAACCAGAUCAGCUUUUUCCUUCCCACACCAACCCAACCACCUAUCGUAUUUUCACGAUUUAUGUUCCGUCCGACCUCCUUUUUGGGUGAUUCUUGGGGCGUUAGAAUUGUAUGUUCAUCCUCCAUCAAUACUUUGUGGUGAUUUAAGGUGGUUGAAGAUGUAUAGAGCCCGAAAACAUAGAAAAUGUGCAGCAGUCCCGUUUUGAAGGCAUGGAUAGAUCUUUCUCAUCUGACAACCAAACGAGGUCUGAAAUGCAUUUUCUGAAGUAGAAUUUGAAUUCGAAACGCGUUAGAACUCGUCUUGUGACGGCGAUUUUCAUCGUCGGAACUCGUCUUCGCAUUCUAGAGGUUUUUUACUUUCAAUCUAUCUCAUAUAUUCGGAAGAAUUUGUUACUCGAGUGACCACAUACUGUUGAAUCGUAUUUUACUCUUGUUAAUUACCAGUUUUAGCAUUUUGGUGGUCUGCAAUAAUAGACAAGCCAUCAUGGAAAAAGAAUGGGCAAAAUAUGAAAGCAAAAAUAUGUUGUUCCAGAAGCAUGCAAACGAAAUGUGUGGCGUAAAAUGAUUAAGCUUUGGGGAAAUUACAAAUCAAAGACGAUGAAAGAAGUGAGGGACAAAGCUGAAUUAGUAGGCUUACCACGUGUUGCUGCUCUACUCAAACCUGAUAAUAAAGAUUCAAUGGAAGCGUGGUUGAAGUUUGUCAAUUCCAAAACCACAGAAGAAUAUAUAACAAGUUGCGAAAGGUUUAGAUUGAUGUGGCAGGAAAGGAGCUUGAUGCAUAGAACAAGUAGAAAAAGUUUCGCAUGUAUUGAAGAAGAACUGAAGCAACGAAGUGAGAAUCCAGAUGCAAUUACAAGGUCUGAUGUUUGGCUGGAGGCAUAUGAAGUGAAGAACAAAGCAGACAAACAAGUUGAGGAUCCAGAAAUACUGAUAAGAACUAAAUCUUGAACUAGUAAGAAGAUACAGGGAGGAGGAAGAAGAGAUGACAUAACCAUAUUCUAUAAGAACUGAUUUUGUUGCAAAGGCACUUGGUCCUGACCCGCGAGGAAGAGUUAAAGGUCUCGGGUUUGGUGCACUUCCUUCAAAAGUGGAUGGUCAAACACAUAGCUAACAAGGUCAAAACGCUCUUGCUUCUCAAACACAACAGGUGCAACAAUAGUCACAAUUGGUGAGAGAACUUCUUGGUCAGAUAGCGGUUGGAGGCAAUGUUAAUGAACACACAAGCGAGGUACGGUCUGCUAGUUGGAUUGCAAAGGAUAAGCGUAAAGCAAAUAGGAACUCAACCAAGGAUGGUGGCAGUAAGGAACCUGGUAGGCCUAGAAAGAGUCGAAAGAGGGAUGCAGAGGAUGAAGGCAGAGGAUGGAGUAUUGAUCUUGAUAGGAUUAACUUUGGUCUGCUAUUGAUUUUCAACAGUCUUGUUAAAAACUAAAACAUAACUUGGUCUCUAUUAAAGCUUUGGUCGGAGUUUGUACAGUAUUCUAUCAAUUCUUAAUCUCCUUGCAACAUUCUAUUCAAUUGGAUGAUUUUUGCUUACAA